UCCUGUUGUCUUUGGGUCAGAUUUGACCCCUUUUCAAAAGGUUUCUAUGUCAGAAAUUUGGGGUUCUUUCUACCAAAUUGUAAAA